rnacentral:lncRNA from 1 species
UUUUCUUUCUGUAUAUCUGUUUUUUUUUUUUUUUUUUUUUCGUAGUCAAUUUUGCUUUGAUUUGUUUAGAUCUAUAGAUUUUGGAUGUGGGUUUGCCUUAUUUGCUUUGAUUUUCCUUCGAUUUACUGAUUUUGCAUUUGUAAGGUGAAUCGAAUUAAAACCAGAUUUCCUUUUUUCUUUCCUUAUAUUUAUAUUUAAGCACGUAUUUUCUGUUAAUUUUUCUCAUUUAUUUGUCUAUUUUGAGUCUUAUUUAUUGUAAACGAAUUUCUUUUAUAAGUUUAAUUGUCAUUUUCUGCAUAAGGGAAAAAUGAGAAAGAUUUAUUGGGUGAAAAGAACAAUUGAAGUAGUUAAUUUCAAAACCUAGUUCCUUUUAAUCAGCCAGAAUAUUCUAGGUGUAAAAUUUCUGAAUUGUGAAACUCAAUUGUAUCCUUUAAUUUGGAUUUAGAAUUCAAUGAAUGAAUGAAAUCAUCUCUGAAUAUUUCGAUUUGUUUAUGUUCUUUAAGUUGGAGCAUUUCUCUUUAAAGAUGAUAUACUUUUCAAGAAUACUAAUGUAAAAGAGGUUUGGAUUUGCAUAUGAUACAGGGAUGCAAGCCACCUCUAAUGGAAAUGGGAGGCACUUCAACCAACAUCACUCCUAGUUCAUCCCGAAACCCAAGUCCACCGUCCCGUAGUUAUCAAUUUUGCUUUGAUUUGUUUAGAUCUAUAGAUUUUGGAUGUGGGUUUGCCUUAUUUGCUUUGAUUUUCCUUCGAUUUACUGAUUUUGCAUUUGUAAGGUGAAUCGAAUUAAAACCAGAUUUCCUUUUUUCUUUCCUUAUAUUUAUAUUUAAGCACGUAUUUUCUGUUAAUUUUUCUCAUUUAUUUGUCUAUUUUGAGUCUUAUUUAUUGUAAACGAAUUUCUUUUAUAAGUUUAAUUGUCAUUUUCUGCAUAAGGGAAAAAUGAGAAAGAUUUAUUGGGUGAAAAGAACAAUUGAAGUAGUUAAUUUCAAAACCUAGUUCCUUUUAAUCAGCCAGAAUAUUCUAGGUGUAAAAUUUCUGAAUUGUGAAACUCAAUUGUAUCCUUUAAUUUGGAUUUAGAAUUCAAUGAAUGAAUGAAAUCAUCUCUGAAUAUUUCGAUUUGUUUAUGUUCUUUAAGUUGGAGCAUUUCUCUUUAAAGAUGAUAUACUUUUCAAGAAUACUAAUGUAAAAGAGGUUUGGAUUUGCAUAUGAUACAGGGAUGCAAGCCACCUCUAAUGGAAAUGGGAGGCACUUCAACCAACAUCACUCCUAGUUCAUCCCGAAACCCAAGUCCACCGUCUUCGUAUUUUGCGAGUCCAAUUCCAUCUUAUCAACCUAGUCCGUCAUCCUCUUCAUUCCCAAGCCCAUCUCGGCAAGAC